rnacentral:rRNA from 1 species
AGAGUUUGAUCCUGGCUCAGGAUGAACGCUGACAGAAUGCUUAACACAUGCAAGUCUACUUGAAUUUGGGUCCUAGACUUAGAUUUGGGUGGCGGACGGGUGAGUAACGCGUAAAGAACUUGCCUCACAGUUAGGGACAACAUUUGGAAACGAAUGCUAAUACCUGAUAUUAUAAUUUUAGGGCAUCCUAAGAUUAUGAAAACUAUAUGUGCUGUGAGAGAGCUUUGCGUCCCAUUAGCUAGUUGGUGAGGUAACGGCUCACCAAGGCGAUGAUGGGUAGCCGGCCUGAGAGGGUGAACGGCCACAAGGGGACUGAGACACGGCCCUUACUCCUACGGGAGGCAGCAGUGGGGAAUAUUGGACAAUGGACCAAAAGUCUGAUCCAGCAAUUCUGUGUGCACGAUGACGUUUUUCGGAAUGUAAAGUGCUUUCAGUUGGGAAGAAAAAAAUGACGGUACCAACAGAAGAAGUGACGGCUAAAUACGUGCCAGCAGCCGCGGUAAUACGUAUGUCACAAGCGUUAUCCGGAUUUAUUGGGCGUAAAGCGCGUCUAGGUGGUUAUGUAAGUCUGAUGUGAAAAUGCAGGGCUCAACUCUGUAUUGCGUUGGAAACUGUGUAACUAGAGUACUGGAGAGGUAAGCGGAACUACAAGUGUAGAGGUGAAAUUCGUAGAUAUUUGUAGGAAUGCCGAUGGGGAAGCCAGCUUACUGGACAGAUACUGACGCUAAAGCGCGAAAGCGUGGGUAGCAAACAGGAUUAGAUACCCUGGUAGUCCACGCCGUAAACGAUGAUUACUAGGU